rnacentral:rRNA from 2 species
CUAAUACAUGCGAGUCGAGCGCAGGAAACCAGAUGACCCCUUCGGGGUGAUUCUGGUGGAAUGAGCGGCGGACGGGUGAGUAACACGUGGGCAACCUGCCUGUAAGACUGGGAUAACUUCGGGAAACCGGAGCUAAUACCGGAUAGUAUUUCCUUUCUCCUGAUUGGAAAUGGAAAGACGGUUUCGGCUGUCACUUACAGAUGGGCCCGCGGUGCAUUAGCUAGUUGGUGGGGUAAUGGCCCACCAAGGCGACGAUGCAUAGCCGACCUGAGAGGGUGAUCGGCCACACUGGGACUGAGACACGGCCCAGACUCCUACGGGAGGCAGCAGUAGGGAAUCUUCCGCAAUGGACGAAAGUCUGACGGAGCAACGCCGCGUGAGCGAUGAAGGCCUUCGGGUCGUAAAGCUCUGUUGUUAGGGAAGAACAAGUACGAGAGUAACUGCUCGUACCUUGACGGUACCUAACCAGAAAGCCCCGGCUAACUACGUGCCAGCAGCCGCGGUAAUACGUAGGGGGCAAGCGUUGUCCGGAAUUAUUGGGCGUAAAGGGCUCGUAGGCGGUUUCUUAAGUCUGAUGUGAAAGCCCACAGCUCAACUGUGGAGGGUCAUUGGAAACUGGGGAACUUGAGUGCAGAAGAGGAGAGUGGAAUUCCACGUGUAGCGGUGAAAUGCGUAGAUAUGUGGAGGAACACCAGUGGCGAAGGCGACUCUCUGGUCUGUAACUGACGCUGAGGAGCGAAAGCGUG